rnacentral:rRNA from 1 species
GAGCAAGCGUUAUCCGGAUUUAUUGGGUGUAAAGGGUGCGUAGACGGGAAUUUAAGUUAGUUGUGAAAUACCUCGGCUCAACUGAGGAACUGCAACUAAAACUGAAUUUCUUGAGUGCUGGAGAGGAAAGUGGAAUUCCUAGUGUAGCGGUGAAAUGCGUAGAUAUUAGGAGGAACACCUGUGGCGAAGGCGACUUUCUGGACAGUAACUGACGUUGAGGCACGAAAGUGUGGGGAGCAAACA